rnacentral:tRNA from 1 species
AGUAAAGUCAGCUAAUAAAGCUCUUGGGCCCAUGCCCCUAGUAUGUCGGUUAAAGUCCUUCCUCUACUA